AGCCAAUGCCGGAUCCGGCCAGCCGCGGGCUCCAGCGACGGGCCGUCGAUGGAUCCAGCCAUCCACGGCCUUUGGCGAUGGGCUAUCUCCGGAUCUGCCCCGCGCUCCUCCCCCGGUCCCCUCCCACCUCACGCCCCAACCCCUCCACCUUCUACACCAAUUCGCCACCAGGGGCCCGAGCCGCCAUAGCCUCCACACCGCGCUUCUCCCAGUGCUCGCCGUGAGUCGCCGCACCAGCUUCUCCCCCCGCGGCACCUUCUUCCAAUGGAUUAGGGCGCCCCCCUCUAUCGGGCGUCAUGGCUGGCCACGCAGACAACACAGACGGGCCCUCGGUCUGGGGUACCUCCACAGCGGCCUCGAGCAUCGCAGAGUCCUGAUGAAGUAGCUCCGACAGGGAGGAUUUGGCCACUGCAGUCCACCAUCGCACAGAGGCGUGCCCCACUUCCUCCUCUCCAUGCAGUCCAUUGUCAAAGCCAAGGGGCUUGCCAUCCCGGGGGCAUCUGGGGCAGCUGGCUUCAAAGAUUGGAGGGGAUUUGGUUAUCUCGGUGGUCAGCGAUGAGGGAUCCGAGGCAGCCACCGCGCCGCCAGCCCCAUGCAGCUCGGUUGGCAGGCCCGUGCGGCUCGGUUGCCACCCCCGUGCAACUCGGUUGCCACGGCCGGCCUCCAAAGCCUCCUCCCCAUCCCCGACACUUGACGACGCCGCCCCGCCAUCCCUUCACCGUGAUGCACGCGAGAUACACCGCUCCAAGGGUCGUCUCUCCUUCAACCGACGACGGUCGCGGAGUGCACUCGUCCCUCUCUCUUCCACUGGAGUUUGCUAUGCGUUGUUCUUCCGGUUGAAUUUUCAGGUUUUUUCCAUGCACUCGGUGCGGUCCGCUCUGACCGUUCCUGCAAUUUAUAUGGGAGCUUGAUGAGGUUCACAUUCAAAAUGCGCGACUCGACAGAGGUUCAGCAGCACAUCUCGUGCAGCUCGAUUUGCACAGGUGUGCGGUUUUGUAUAUCGCCCCUUGCAGCUCGGGUAAGUUUGUGCAUUUUUUUUUACUACAAGUUGUGCAUCAUGCGGUCUGAUGUGUAAAGGCAUUGACCAUGCAGUACUCGGAUGAACGUAUGUCUCAUGCGGUACUGGGAUGUAAUUUCCGUGGGGGUUGCAUAUUUUUAUGAAUUUGUUGUGACAUAUGAUGUGUGGUUGCUGGAUGUACUUCUUUUCGAAGCACUAUUGGUUGUUUCUAGAGGUUCA